UGGAAACGGGGUCUAAUACCGGAUAACACUCCUGCCUGCAUGGGUGGGGGUUAAAAGCUCCGGCGGUGAAGGAUGAGCCCGCGGCCUAUCAGCUUGUUGGUGAGGUAGUGGCUCACCAAGGCGACGACGGGUAGCCGGCCUGAGAGGGCGACCGGCCACACUGGGACUGAGACACGGCCCAGACUCCUACGGGAGGCAGCAGUGGGGAAUAUUGCACAAUGGGCGAAAGCCUGAUGCAGCGACGCCGCGUGAGGGAUGACGGCCUUCGGGUUGUAAACCUCUUUCAGCAGGGAAGAAGCGAAAGUGACGGUACCUGCAGAAGAAGCGCCGGCUAACUACGUGCCAGCAGCCGCGGUAAUACGUAGGGCGCAAGCGUUGUCCGGAAUUAUUGGGCGUAAAGAGCUCGUAGGCGGCUUGUCACGUCGGUUGUGAAAGCCCGGGGCUUAACCCCGGGUCUGCAGUCGAUACGGGCAGGCUAGAGUGUGGUAGGGGAGAUCGGAAUUCCUGGUGUAGCGGUGAAAUGCGCAGAUAUCAGGAGGAACACCGGUGGCGAAGGCGGAUCUCUGGGCCAUUACUGACGCUGAGGAGCGAAAGCGUGGGGAGCGAACAGGAUUAGAUACCCUGGUAGUCCACGCCGUAAACGGUGGGAACUAGGUGUUGGCGACAUUCCACGUCGUCGGUGCCGCAGCUAACGCAUUAAGUUCCCCGCCU
rnacentral:rRNA from 1 species